AUCCAGCUGAAGAGUCCCAAAUAGGACGAUACGCGCAUCCUGGAU
rnacentral:hammerhead_ribozyme from 1 species